GAUGAACGCUGGCGGCGUGCCUAACACAUGCAAGUCGAGCGAUUUACUUCGGUAAAGAGCGGCGGACGGGUGAGUAACGCGUGGGUAACCUGCCCUGUACACACGGAUAACAUACCGAAAGGUAUGCUAAUACGAGAUAAUAUGCUUUUAUCGCAUGGUAGAAGUAUCAAAGCUCCGGCGGUACAGGAUGGACCCGCGUCUGAUUAGCUAGUUGGUAAGGUAACGGCUUACCAAGGCGACGAUCAGUAGCCGACCUGAGAGGGUGAUCGGCCACAUUGGAACUGAGACACGGUCCAAACUCCUACGGGAGGCAGCAGUGGGGAAUAUUGCACAAUGGGCGAAAGCCUGAUGCAGCAACGCCGCGUGAGCGAUGAAGGCCUUCGGGUCGUAAAGCUCUGUCCUCAAGGAAGAUAAUGACGGUACUUGAGGAGGAAGCCCCGGCUAACUACGUG
rnacentral:rRNA from 1 species